GUCUCAGGCCUGUGCACUUCAGACCCGCAAACCCCGCCAGGUUCGGAAGAAAGCAACGGUAGUGGAGCUCUGGAGGUGCCACAGAAAACCUGGGGCCUA
rnacentral:SRP_RNA from 1 species